UUGGAGGUCUGGGAGGGGCUGAAUGUGGUGAAGACAGGCCGAGUCAUGCUCGGGGAGACCAACCCUGCGGACUCCAAGCCUGGGACCAUCCGUGGCGACUUCUGCAUACAAGUUGGCAGGAACAUUAUACAUGGCAGUGAUUCCGUGGAGAGUGCAGAGAAGGAGAUCGGCUUGUGGUUUCACCCUGAGGAACUGGUAGAUUACAUGAGCUGUGCUCAGAACUGGAUCUAUGAAUGACAGGAGAGCAGGCCACAAUGCUUUCACAUCCAUUUCUCCUCCUUCCCACGGGCAGAGGACCAGGCCCUAGGAAAUCUAGUUAUUUAAAGGAACUUCGUCAUAAUUUGGAAGGAAGUUCUUGGAGCUGUGAGUGCUCCCUGUACAGUGUUACCAUCCCCUACCAUCUGAUUAAAAUGCUUCCUCCCAACUUAGGAUUCAUUGAGUUGGUUACUUUG